rnacentral:tRNA from 1 species
UAUAACUCAUGUGGUAGAGUGGUAAGCUUUUAACUUAUAAGUGAUUGGUUCGAGCCCAAUUACACCAAAAUGC